CCUACGGGAGGCAGCAGUGAGGAAUAUUGGUCAAUGGACGAGAGUCUGAACCAGCCAAGUAGCGUGAAGGAUGACUGCCCUAUGGGUUGUAAACUUCUUUUAUAUGGGAAUAAAAUGUUCCACGUGUGGGAUUUUGUAUGUACCAUAUGAAUAAGGAUCGGCUAACUCCGUGCCAGCAGCCGCGGUAAUACGGAGGAUCCGAGCGUUAUCCGGAUUUAUUGGGUUUAAAGGGAGCGUAGGGGGAUUGUUAAGUCAGUUGUGAAAGUUUGCGGCUCAACCGUAAAAUUGCAGUUGAAACUGGCAGUCUUGAGUACAGUAGAGGUGGGUGGAAUUCGUGGUGUAGCGGUGAAAUGCUUAGAUAUCACGAAGAACUCCGAUUGCGAAGGCAGUUCACUGGACUGCAACUGACACUGAGGCUCGAAAGUGUGGGUAUCAAACAGGAUUAGAUACCCCAGUAGUC
rnacentral:rRNA from 1 species